rnacentral:tRNA from 1 species
GGGUGGUUGGCAGAGUGGCUGAAUGCGGAGUCCUGCUAAGACUUUAAUCGUAGUUAAUACGGUUCGGAGGUUCGAAUCCUCCACCACCCG